UAUGUACUCCCUCCGUUCGGAAUUACUUGUCUCGGAAAUGGAUGUAUCUAGAACUAAAAUACGUCUAGAUACAUCCAUUUCUGCGACAAGUAAUUCCGAACGGAGGGAGUAACUU
rnacentral:pre_miRNA from 1 species